AGUGAACGCUGGCGGUAGGCCUAACACAUGCAAGUCGAACGGCAGCACAGUAAGAGCUUGCUCUUACGGGUUGCGAGUGGCGGACGGGUGAGGAAUACAUCGGAAUCUACUUUUUCGUGGGGGUUAAGGUAGGGAAACUUACGCUAAUACCGCAUACGACCUACGGGUGAAAGCAGGGGAUCUUCGGACCUUGCGCGAUUGAAUGAGCCGAUGUCGGAUUAGCUAGUUGGCGGGGUAAGGGCCCACCAAGGCGACGAUCCGUAGCUGGUCUGAGAGGAUGGUCAGCCACACUGGAACUGAGACACGGUCCAGACUCCUACGGGAGGCAGCAGUGGGGAAUAUUGGACAAUGGGCGCAAGCCUGAUCCAGCCAUACCGCGUGGGUGAAGAAGGCCUUCGGGUUGUAAAGCCCUUUUGUUGGGAAAGAAAAGCAGUAGGUUAAUACCCCGCUGUUCUGACGGUACCCAAAGAAUAAGCACCGGCUAACUUCGUG
rnacentral:rRNA from 1 species